ACACAAACCGUUCAUUCUGUAAAUCUUAAAUAAAUCAUUAGAAAUAUAUUAUAGUAUAUAGUAUAUAUAAGCAUUACAAUUUCUUUUGGAUAUUUUAUUACACAACGAUCAUUGUACUUAAAGUAUAACAAUAAUAGUAUAAUCUUUUACCAGGACCAUCACUAACAUUUAUUUACAAUUUUUUUAUUAUAAAAAAUAUCUAAUAUGUCAGUUAUAUAGAUGUAUCUUUAUUAUUAUUAUAGGUUAUGUUUAUGUGUUAUAAAUGACAAAAAAUACAGUAUAUAAUAGUCUUUUUCGACUAUUCAAUAAUUACACAAUGCUAAGUAAUUAUUUAAAUUAAUAAUAUUCAGGGAAUAUAAGAGCUGUUCGACAGAUUAUUUUGUAUAGUGCGAACUCCUUUCACGUGGAAAUUGGAAGAUAUUGAUAAAUAUAAAAGGAUCAAUUGGGACUUUUACAUACAUAUGAAUAUAUGUAAAAAGGCACUGAACGUACAACGAGUUCGUCCGCAAUAUAACUGAUGGUAUUAGGACGUAUUAGGGGUAUUACAGAAGCAACGGUGUAAUUAACAAGAACAUUUCCAUUAUUUUGCGAUUUGACAAUGACAAGAAAAUGUCGAUAUUGUAAUUAUAACUUAAUAAUUUUAUAAUUGGCCGAUACAAAUUAACAAGCCAAAUGAAAGUAUCAUUGCAUUAUUUUUUAAUGUUGUUCCUAAAUAAUUGAAAAAUGGUUAUUAAAUUAACUCUUAAAUUUUUCAAUUAAAAUUUAUUCAUCUAAUCAAACGGC